GGGCAUGUGGCGCAGUUGGUAGUCGCGCCAGUUUUGCAUGAUUUCGAUCUAAGUCUACUGGAGGUCUCCGGUUCGAACCCGGACUUGUCCA